rnacentral:rRNA from 1 species
GUGCAAGACGGGUACGGGGAUUAGGGUUCGAUUCCGGAGAGGGAGCCUGAGAAACGGCUACCACAUCCAAGGAAGGCAGCAGGCGCGCAAAUUACCCAAUCCCGAUACGGGGAGGUAGUGACAAUAAAUAACAAUACAGGGCUCUUAUGGGUCUUGUAAUUGGAAUGAGUACAAUUUAAAUCCCUUAACGAGGAACAAUUGGAGGGCAAGUCUGGUGCCAGCAGCCGCGGUAAUUCCAGCUCCAAUAGCGUAUAUUAAAGUUGUUGCAGUUAAAAAGCUCGUAGUUGAAUUUCGGAGUUCUACCGUUGGUCGGGCAAUAGUCUGUACUGGCGUGUGGAAUUUCUACCUUCUGGGGAACCAUCAUGUUAUUUAUUUAGCGUGGUGGGAAACCAGGACCUUUACCUUGAAAAAAUUAGAGUGUUCAAAGCAGGCUUACGUCUGAAUACAUUAGCAUGGAAUAAUAAAAUAGGACGGUGGUCCUGUUUUGUUGGUUUCUGAAUCACCGUAAUGAUUAAUAGGGAUAGUUGGGGGCAUUAGUAUUCAAUUGUCAGAGGUGAAAUUCUUGGAUUUAUUGAAGACUAACUUCUGCGAAAGCAUUUGCCAAGGAUGUUUUCAUUAAUCAAGAACGAAAGUUAGGGGAUCGAAGACGAUCAGAUACCGUCGUAGUCUUAACCAUAAACUAUGCCGACUAGGGAUCGGACGAUGUUAAUUUUUCUUGACUCGUUCGGCGCCUUACGGGAACCAAAGGUUUUGUGGGUUCAAAUUUGG